CUCUUGCUCCUGCGCUUGCCCUGUGUGAUACUUGCUCUCUCUUCACCUUCUGCCAUGAGUGGAAGCUUCCUGAGGCCAUCACCAGAAGCAGGCACUAUGCACCAUGAUUCCUGUACUGUCUGCAGAACUUUCUUUUUCCUGGGCAUACAUUUCUAUAUUUGAGAUACUACAGACCAUUUUGCGGCAGCAUUUGUCAUUUAACACUAUUGCAUAGGAUGAAGUCCUUAAAAAGGAAUUACUGAGUCAGAAAACAUGAGUGUUUUCAAGGUUCUUGAUACACAUUGCCCAAACUGUCUUCCAGAAGGUGACCACCAAAGUCAUCCUGAAAGAGAGAUGGCGGAGCUUGGUCCACUCUACGUGCCAAUCUGGCUGCCGGCAAGGAGGAUGAUCAACUCUGAAGGCCUGCAGCCACACCUUUAAUAAGAGACCCCUGUCUUGAACUCUUCAUUUAAUCAACGAACAAAUAGUGAGUACCGAGUAUGUGUGCACAUCAGCUCUUUUCCUCUUCAUAUCAGCCCUGAGAGACAUGCAGGAAGGGUGUUUAUGCCUUCUUUACAGAUGAGGCGACUGAGGCGCAGUGUUGGGGGCCAUCACCGGCACUGAGAGUGACUAUGCAGAGACUGGAACCCAAUUCCCUUCACCAUUAGACCAGUGCUUUCCUGCUGUAUUGCAGAUGGAGCAAUUUUCUCAUGACAGAAAAACCCUCACUUCUCAAUUUCACCAAACCAUUUAUGGUUAAGGGAGAAGGACAGGAGUUGGCCUCAUCUCUACACAUCCAUUAAAAAUGUUUCAAUUUAAGAACUCUGGGCUGGGCAUGGUGGC